rnacentral:rRNA from 1 species
CAUAAUACCCACGGGUCAAAGGAGCAAUUCGCUUGAGGAGGAGGUCGCGGCCCGAUUAGUUAGUUGGCGGGGUAAUGGCCCCACCAAGACGGUGAUCGGUAUCCGGCCUGAGAGGGCGCACGGACACACUGGAACUGAAACACGGUCCAGACUCCUACGGGAGGCAGCAGUGGGGAAUUUUGCGCAAUGGGGGAAACCCUGACGCAGCAACGCCGCGUGGAGGAUGAAGUCUCUUGGGACGUAAACUCCUUUCGAUCGGGACGAUUAUGACGGUACCGGAAGAAGAAGCCCCGGCUAACUUCGUG